rnacentral:tRNA from 1 species
GGCAGCGUGACUUAGUGGCUAGAGUAUGGGCCCAGAAGCCAGAAGGACCAGGGUUCUAAUCCCUGCUCCGCCA